rnacentral:rRNA from 1 species
CCCGCUGAACUUAAGCAUAUCAUAAGCGGNAGGAAAGAACUAACAAGGAUUCCCCUAGUACUGCGAGUGAAGCGGGAAAAAGCUCAAUUUAAAUCUGGGGGUCCCUGUGGGCCCUCGAGUUUGUAUCUAGAGAAGUGCUAUCCGCGCUGGACCGUGUACAAGUCUCCUGGAACGGAGCGUCAUAGAGGGUGAGAUCCCGUCUUUGACACGGACUACCAGGGCUUAUGUGAUGUGCUCUCAAAGAGUCGAGUGNNUUGGAAAUGCAGCUCUAAUGGNNUGGUAAAUUCCAUCUAAAGCUAAAUAUUGGCGAGAGACCGAUAGCGACAAAGUACCGUGAGGGAAAGAUGAAAAGAACUUUGGAAAGAGAGUUAAACAGUACGUGAAAUUGUUGAAAGGGAAACGCUUGAAGUCAGUCGCGUUGCCCAGAAAUCAACCUUGCUUUUGCUUGGUGUACUUUCUGGUUAACGGGUCAGCAUCAAUUUUGACCGGUGGAUAAAGGUCAGGGGAAUGUGGCAUCUUCGGAUGUGUUAUAGCCCUUAGUUGCAUACAUCGAUUGGGAUUGAGGAACUCAGCAUGCCGCAAGGCCGGGUUUUUAACCACGUACAUGCUUAGGAUGCUGGCAUAAUGGCUUUAAUCGACCCGUCUUGAAACACGG